GAUGAACGCUGGCGGCGUGCCUAAUACAUGCAAGUCGAGCGAACAGACGAGGAGCUUGCUCCUCUGACGUUAGCGGCGGACGGGUGAGUAACACGUGGAUAACCUACCUAUAAGACUGGGAUAACUUCGGGAAACCGGAGCUAAUACCGGAUAAUAUAUUGAACCGCAUGGUUCAAUAGUGAAAGACGGUUUUGCUGUCACUUAUAGAUGGAACCGCGCCGCAUUAGCUAGUUGGUAAGGUAACGGCUUACCAAGGCAACGAUGCGUAGCCGACCUGAGAGGGUGAUCAGCCACACUGGAACUGAGACACGGUCCAGACUCCUACGGGAGGCAGCAGUAGGGAAUCUUCCGCAAUGGGCGAAAGCCUGACGGAGCAACGCCGCGUGAGUGAUGAAGGUCUUCGGAUCGUAAAACUCUGUUAUUAGGGAAGAACAAAUGUGUAAGUAACUAUGCACGUCUUGACGGUACCUAAUCAGAAAGCCACGGCUAACUACGUG
rnacentral:rRNA from 1 species